AACCUCCAUAGGCUGGCCAGCCCCAAGGCUGAGCAGGUUGAGCAUCUCUUCAAAUGGCUCACCCUCAAGGAUGACUAGAAGC
rnacentral:pre_miRNA from 1 species